GAUGGAGAGACAGAGAGCACGCAACUGGUAAGUAGCCGAGAAAGCUCUCCUAAAAUAGUUGGUCACCAAUUGUUUCAGCAUUGCGUAUUGAAUAAUACAACCUUCUUCCACUGCCGUGAAAUGUCAACAGCUGCUCUCCCACUAGAUAGGGCGUAGCUUUCCACAGACGUGGAAACAUCGCUGUGGUCCAUCUCUAUUUACUGCAAGCAGAAGGGUCAAGACAGAAAACAUAGAGGCUUUUAGUAGGAGAGGGCAGACAUGCUUUAUCAUAUCAUUGAGCUACAAUUCUGGCCUACAGCAGAGAUACAGCCUGGUUUCCAUUAAGAGCAAGGCCUCUGGACCCAGGCUUCCUGGGCUUGCUUCCUGAUCCCAUCUUUUACUAAUUGUAUCGCCACAGAAAGAAAGGCUCCAGAUUUAUGUUUCCUGGUAUUGCUGCUAUUGGUAUUACUGUCAUUAUUACUAUUAUCACCAUCAUCAUCAUCAUUACUAUUAUUAUUAUUAUUAUUAUUUUACAAUUGAACUACAUUGGUGAAUAUUUAAUGUCCAUCUGACCUGAGACUGAAAUAGCUACAGUGCAAGACGGAGAGAGGCCUUCAUGCAUGGUGUGCAUUUGCCACCUAGUGACCACACUGAGGGAGAAGGAACAUGGACCAUCCACCCAGUCUUCCAAACAACAUCCCUCACCCAUAGUUGAAACUUUGGAUUCAGACCCUUCUCUGACACUUCUGACAAUAAGUUUGGUGACUCAUGCUCUGGAGGAAGAAAGUGAAGAAGAGCAAGACUACUUCUCUGCAGCAAACUCUGAUGUUCUCUGUUCUUUCCUUACCACUGUUGUCAUGAGCAGCAUUUUUUCAUAGGUGCAUUGUUAUCCUUGCCAUGAGAGCAGACAAAAAUGAAAAAUAGUUGCCAAGUAACCAGAACUGCUGGUAUGAAACUUUGGGAAAUAUCACUGAGAUGUGCUUUGGUAUUUUAUUUCUGUGAACAAACCAAUUGUCUUGGACUUUCACAGUACUCUUUUCUAUGUCUCACCCUUUACCACAAAGGUCCUUAAGUCCUUUGACAUGCAUAGUGUGAGGGAUUCUGGCACACAUUCUAGAACCUCGCAAAGUGGGAGGGGCCUGCUAUCUGCUUUAUCAUCUUCAUUCCUGAAGUUUACUUUAAUUCUGAUUAGUUUGGCAUAAGGUCAUUUGUUGUAUGUAGUCAUCUAAGUUAUGUAAUGCCUGAUUCUGAGUAGCAGAGUAUUUAUCAUAAAUUCCUUGAUUUGCAUUGGUACCUAAUCAAUGAGGAGAAGUUAGUAUAGUUAAUUUCCAUACUUCCCUCUUGUUCUCAUGUUUGCCUCAUCCAAGUGUUUCUGAGAUGCUGAACCUCCUCCAGAAAAGGUAAUGCUAAAAUUUCCUGUUCCCAAAAGGUGCUGCAGAACUCACUUCUAGUUGAAGUUUGAGUGUUUAAUUCACUUUUGUAAUCUCAUUAUUUGACUGAAGUAUUGUUAAAGUG
ensembl:processed_transcript